UCACAUGGCUAUACGCCGUUUGAUGACAAUGCCAAGGGGAGCCUCAGGAGGCAGAAGAGCAGCAGUAAAAAGCACCUGUUUCCAAGCCCAGCAGUCUUCAGCCAGAUUGAUGCCCACGCCAUCAGAGCCGGAGAGGAGCUGAGGAGGAAGAGGAUCUUCUCUGUGAAGGCCAUCACUCAAGCUAUUACUGUGGGAGCAGUGACUGACCUACAAAAGUUAAGGGCUAUCUGGAUCUGGCUGUGCCACAACAUUGAGUAUGACGUAAGCGGAUACUUCGGGAAGACUGAGAAGAUAACCUCAAUUGAGCAGGUCAUCGAGACUCGCCGAGGCGUCUGCUGUGGCUACGCCAGGUUGUGCGAGCAGAUGUGCAG